rnacentral:lncRNA from 1 species
CUAAAAACCUCCCAUUUCAAUUUAACAAAUCAACAACUCAAACAUAUUGCUAAACUAUAUAAUUCAAAAACAUAAUGUAUAACUGUAAGUAUGUAACCGUUUAGUUUUCAUUUCAUACUAACUUAAGAACACAAAAACUUACAAAAAUAAAAUUAUUUGAUUCCCGUUGAACUAGGGAUUUCUCUCUGUCAAUUUCUAUCCUUUCCUUUAUUAAAUUGACCAGCCGAAGAUGAUAUUAAAGGAGUAAACAUGCUCUUUUACAGAUAAGAGCCAAAAUUAUUUGAUUCCCAUGGCAGCUCCACCACCACCUUCACCUAAUUCCAUAAAUGAUCAGACCUAUUUAACUCUAAACUAUUUGAUUCAAUAGGCUUCGCUUGUUAUGAUGCAAUCUUUUCCUGUAAGAAGAAACAAUAUAGUACAAAUAGUUAAGAUUUAAAUUGUCUCGAAAAUUUUAACAAAAAGGGUUAAAAUGUUUUGUAACUUAAUUUUCAAUAUCAUAAAUAUUACCCUAUGUCGUCAAAGUUAGGUUUGACAUGUAAUAACUUUAAACCCUAUUAAGGAUUUAAUUGACAUUAAAACAUGUUAAACCAAAUAAACAUCCUAAAAAACCUUUUAAAACAAAACCUAGUUGUACGACAUUUGGAGACAUGGCUAUUGACAUGAAUUCGUUAUAGCUUCUAAAAGAUAUCAACAAACAAUGUCAAUAUGUUCUUGGUUCUGAACUGACACCUGCAUCAAAUGGGUUUCAAUAGCAAAAUCUCAGCUAAUGUGAUUUCCGUUACUGAAUUUAACUUAAAAAUAAGAAAUAACAUUCACAAAUCAUCUAAAAAGAUAAAUUUGAAAAAAAAACAUAAUAAGAAAACAUAAAAAGAUGGCAGCCUAUAGAAAGAUAGAGAACGAUAUAAAGCUCAGUCCCUUAGAUGUUCAUAAAUUGCGAUCAUGCUCGCAAAUCAUUACAGGUCUGUAUUGACUCAUCAUCGCUGAUCGUUUUCCAAAAAAUCUAAUACCACCUAACUAAAAUCAAUUGAAAACAGCAAAUUAGAAUGUAUAGAAUAAAGAAAUAAAUGUAGCUGUACUAGUGAUCUCGAAGAAAUGAAAGCCGAAGGAGAUUAAAAAGUUUAGAACAGCACGCUUGAUCUUGCUUCUAGGGAACGAGUCGGGCAGAAACUGAGAAAAUUCACGCCGACCAGAUAGCGAAGCCUUGAAUCAGAUAAACGUAAAUUGUAAUCACUAAGACGGAAGAUGGCCGGAAGUCGGAAGAAUUUCAAUGACAGGAAAACUUAAAACAAAACCGAUGGCAAUGAAGAUUGGGAGUCCGGGUUUAUGUAGAGCUGGACACAAUCACAUCUAACGCCUCACACCUUCAAUCGUUACGUGAACGGCUGAUACUGUAACGACUCUUUAACCCUAAGGUAUCGUAUAUUCGUAUAUCGAAA